CUUGACACAAUGACAGUUUUGUGUCCCCAGGCCUGCGGUGCCAUUGGGGUCUUAUCACCUGGACGUGGCCCAUUAGUUUGCCUCAAAAAGUGCUGAGCCUUCCUGUGCUGAUGUUCACAGAGUCCCUUAUGACUUCAGGUACCUCUACACAGCAAAUGAUUGUCAUACAGGCUACAUACAUACCCUGAAUAUGUCCCUGGCAGUACUGAGGCAGCUAGCCUGAGCUGAAGCCUGUCCCACUGCAUCUUCACUGCUAUUAUUACCUAAAGCUAGCACAGAUAUGCCUACUUGCGUUAUAAUUACAGCUUCAUUUACUGUGCUCUGCAAGAGGAUGUUUACCAGUAACAGCAACAACAGAGCUGAAAGAGAGAAUAGGCAGAAGACAAGUAUUGUGCAAAUAGAAAAGGGAA